rnacentral:rRNA from 1 species
UAAUACUGGAUAGGCAAUUAUUCCUGUAAUGGUUUUUUGUUUAAAUGUUUUUUCGCCUAAGGAUGGGUCUGCGGCCGAUUAGGUAGUUGGUUAGGUAAUGGCUUACCAAGCCUUUGAUCGGUACGGGUUGUGAGAGCAAGAGCCCGGAGAUGGAACCUGAGACAAGGUUCUAGGCCCUACGGGGUGCAGCAGGCGCGAAACCUCCGCAAUGUGAGAAAUCGCGACGGGGGGAUCCCAAGUGCCAUUCUUAACGGGAUGGCUUUUCUUUAGUGUAAAAAGCUUUUGGAAUAAGAGCUGGGCAAGACCGGUGCCAGCCGCCGCGGUAACACCGGCAGCUCUAGUGGUAGCAAUUUUUAUUGGGCCUAAAGCGUCCGUAGCCGGUUUAAUAAGUCUCUGGUGAAAUCCUGUAGCUUAACUGUGGGAAUUGCUGGAGAUACUAUUAGACUUGAGACCGGGAGAGGUUAGAGGUACUCCCAGGGUAGAGGUGAAAUUCUGUAAUCCUGGGAGGACCGCCUGUUGCGAAGGCGUCUAACUGGAACGGUUCUGACGGUGAGGGACGAAAGUUAGGGGCGCGAACCGGAUUAGAUAACCCGGGUAGUCCUAACUGUAAACGAUGCGGACUUGGUGUAG